rnacentral:piRNA from 1 species
GAUGUGGAUUAAGAAGGCAGCCGAAG